GAUGAACGCUGGCGGCGUGCCUAAUACAUGCAAGUCGAGCGAACAGACGAGGAGCUUGCUCCUCUGACGUUAGCGGCGGACGGGUGAGUAACACGUGGAUAACCUACCUAUAAGACUGGGAUAACUUCGGGAAACCGGAGCUAAUACCGGAUAAUAUAUUGAACCGCAUGGUUCAAUAGUGAAAGACGGUUUUGCUGUCACUUAUAGAUGGAUCCGCGCCGCAUUAGCUAGUUGGUAAGGUAACGGCUUACCAAGGCAACGAUGCGUAGCCGACCUGAGAGGGUGGUCGGCCACCCUGGAACUGAGACACGCUCCAGACUCCUACGGGAGGCAGCAGUAGGGAAUCUUCCGCAAUGGGCGAAAGCCUGACGGAGCAACGCCGCGUGAGUGAUGAAGGUCUUCGGAUCGUAAAACUCUGUUAUUAGGGAAGAACAAAUGUGUAAGUAACUAUGCACGUCUUGACGGUACCUAAUCAGAAAGCCACGGCUAACUACGUG
rnacentral:rRNA from 1 species